CAGCCACCACUGCCCUGCCCUUUGCACCUCCCUUAGGGGACUAAGAGAGUGGAAAAUGUGAUACUGAGCAGUAAUUGCCAUCAGCACUGCCAGAACCAGCCACCAGAACGUGAGGGAGUGGUACCAGAUGCAUCAUUGGUCUGUGCAGUGUCAACCUUUAUAAGCCUCUACAAUAACAUGAGGAAGAUGAUUGAAGCCUUUUGUUGUCUCUCUUCUGAAAAGACUGAACCUAUUCCAGUGCUGCAGGUAUGUAUUUUAGUGAAUAGAGAAUUCAACAGGAUGGAUUAGGC
rnacentral:lncRNA from 1 species